ACAUCGCCCCACCUUCCCCAG
rnacentral:miRNA from 1 species